rnacentral:rRNA from 1 species
UACGAAGGGGGCUAGCGUUGCUCGGAAUCACUGGGCGUAAAGCGCACGUAGGCGGAUGUGUCAGUCAGGGGUGAAAUCCCGGAGCUCAACUUCGGAACUGCCUUUGAUACAGCACGUCUUGAGUCCGGAAGAGGUGGGUGGAAUUCCUAGUGUAGAGGUGAAAUUCGUAGAUAUUCGGAGGAACACCAGUGGCGAAGGCGGCUCACUGGCUCGACACUGACGCUGAGGUGCGAAAGCGUGGGGAGCAAACAGG